UAGGGAAUCUUCCGCAAUGGACGCAAGUCUGACGGAGCAACGCCGCGUGAGUGAAGAAGGAUUUCGGUUCGUAAAACUCUGUUAUUAGGGAAGAAUAAAUGUGUAAGUAACUAUGCACGUCUUGACGGUACCUAAUCAGAAAGCCACGGCUAACUACGUGCCAGCAGCCGCGGUAAUACGUAGGUGGCAAGCGUUAUCCGGAAUUAUUGGGCGUAAAGCGCGCGUAGGCGGUUUUUUAAGUCUGAUGUGAAAGCCCACGGCUCAACCGUGGAGGGUCAUUGGAAACUGGAAAACUUGAGUGCAGAAGAGGAAAGUGGAAUUCCAUGUGUAGCGGUGAAAUGCGCAGAGAUAUGGAGGAACACCAGUGGCGAAGGCGGCUCUCUGGUCUGUAACUGACGCUGAGGCUCGAAAGCGUGGGGAGCGAACAGG
rnacentral:rRNA from 1 species